CCUACGGGAGGCAGCAGUGAGGAAUAUUGGUCAAUGGACGAGAGUCUGAACCAGCCAAGUAGCGUGAAGGAUGACUGCCCUAUGGGUUGUAAACUUCUUUUAUAUGGGAAUAAAAUGUUACACGUGUGGGAUUUUGUAUGUACCAUAUGAAUAAGGAUCGGCUAACUCCGUGCCAGCAGCCGCGGUAAUACGGAGGAUCCGAGCGUUAUCCGGAUUUAUUGGGUGUAAAGGGAGCGUAGGUGGAUUGUUAAGUCAGUUGUGAAAGUUUGCGGCUCAACCGUAAAAUUGCAGUUGAAACUGGCAGUCUUGAGUACAGUAGAGGUGGGCGGAAUUCGUGGUGUAGCGGUGAAAUGCUUAGAUAUCACGAAGAACUCCGAUUGCGAAGGCAGUUCACUGGACUGCAACUGACACUGAGGCUCGAAAGUGUGGGUAUCAAACAGGAUUAGAUACCCCAGUAGUC
rnacentral:rRNA from 1 species